GUUCUUAGCUACGGAGAUGUCCCUGCCAAGACCUAAAAGCUGGGAGAGGAGGGACACUCAGAAUACUGAGAACUAAGCAGGCCUGGAACAAUGCCAAGGCAGGAUACAGGCAUUUCAGAUGUGUCAGCAGAGGCUAACAAAAUAUGAAUCUAUCCUCUUCUGGAUAAGCCCGAGAGAUUUCAGAUGGGUGGGAGUACCUGGAAUGGACUAUGUGGUUAUCCAUAAUGUGUAAAAUCUACAUGUUUUGGAGCAUAUUUUUAUUCUUAAAAAAUAGUGCUACAGAUUAUGGUGGAUAAUGCAGGUGCCCCACCACAUCUCCUAGCUGCCGUGAAUGUUGACUGCUGGAUAGUAUUCCAUCUACCUUGCUUCUUGCUUCUCUCAUUCUUCUUUUCUUAAGAGAAGCACUUCAACAAGAAUUCUUCUCAGGCUCUGCUUUUGGGGAAAACAACCUAAGACACAGGUUCAUGAUGCUCUCUCUGGCCACCUUCCAGACAGGAAGAAAGAGCAGAGGAUCACUGUGAGAGGACUUUGAGGAUCAAAUCCUGAAGUGGUACCUGUCACUACUGUUCAUAGUCUCUUUGCUGGAACUUGGUCCUAUGGCCCUACUGGCAGAGAGGAAGGCUAUGAAACCCAGUCUAGGCCUGCGCCUAGAAGAAGAAGAAGAAACACCUUUUGAAGAACAGAGAGCAGUCUCUGUCAUACCAGGAGUACCUGUCACAUACUUGUAGAACAAAAAUCAGUAACAUUUUAAUUAUUGAAACAAUGUAACAACUUUAAACACAGUUUCAUAACUAGGAGUGAAUCACCCAUAAUCUCAUACCUGGAACAAAAUAUCUGUUAGUAUGAUGCACCUUUACAUAGCUGUAAUCUUAAA